CAAUAAUGUUAAUUGAUUUAUUUCAUUUGUUUUAAACACUCGUCCUUAAAGACGAUAUAAUAUAAUAUACAACACAUUUCUAUAUUCAUAUAGCCUUUAUUCAAAUUUUCAAUUACAAACACCCAGGGUACAAAAAACAAGUCCAUUUAGCACCUCCACCCCUCCCGAACAAAUGCAACUUCUUCAUUUAAACAGAUGUUAAAGAAACUUGUAUAGGUGAAUAACAUACAUCAAAGAUCAAACAUUCAACAGCACACAGAUACAUUCACUCAAGCAUUCAAAUUUCAUUGUGAUGGGACUUCUCUGUAAUUAGUGGAAACAGGCGGCGAUAUCAUUUUAGUCAAUUCUUUCCUAUGAAAUAGUCAACUUUUCACAUAACCCUUACAGAAGAUUUACCGAUCAGAAUAUUUUAUUUGGUAACAGCUUAAGAAUAACCGUAGAAAAAUAGCAGGUACAACAGUGCUGUUUCAAUGGUCACUACAGUCAACACCACAUUCAACCUAAUUCUGCUUUUCUGUAAGCUUUAAUAACAUGAAUCACACAUAGAAAUGAAGCUGUAAUUUCAUGUAACCCAUCAAAUAGUUCAAUAGACUCACCGGCAAUGACACAAGCUUAAGCGGUGCAUUCAAAUCUUUAACAUUCCAUUAGAAACCCAUGGAGAGGUACAAUCUUCCCAAAAAUCCUGUUUCCAUCAUGUAAAAGUGGAUGAAAUAUUAGAACCAGAUUCUGGCCACUUGAAACAGAUUGAGGUAAAUAUAAUUAACUUUGUUAAUGUCCUUAGAAAAUAGCACAAACAAGGUAGAUUGUAAUCAGAAGAUUUCUGUGCAUUAAAGUUACAUAUUACAAUUCAAUUGCAAUAGCACUAAUAAUGAAAUAUGAACUGUAAUUUCUCAUCAACUGAAUGCAUGAAGUUCAUGUCAAUGAUUGCGUUUUGAUUUUACCCAGUUGUUUCAAUAGGCAAUACUCUCCAUAAAAAUAAAAAAAGGCAGAAAAGAAAAAAAACUCCCUCACAUCAUUCCAAAAAUAAAACGGACACACAGUGUCACACAACCCCCCACACACAAACACACGCGCGCACACACACACAAAUCACUGAUAACAGUUCAGUGGGGUACAUAGACAUGGCAAUGUCUCCUAAUGGCAGAUAGGCCAACUGCAAAAGUAUGAGUGCAUGUAUGCAUCAUUGAACGUGUGCUACUUUCUUUUAGGAGAUGAAAGCAGGACGUAAAUAACUUAUGGAGGAAGAAAGAUUGAAAACAAAACAAAAAAAAUAUUGCAAGUUAUCCGCUUUUCUACCGAUAGAUAAAUACCGAUAAAUGUGCACCCAAAUAUUCAAAUUUUAGAUGCAACAGACUGAGAUCGGUUAAAGAGCAAAGGCAUACUCAUUAAAUCAGGGUACGAGUGAAACAUCGCACAUAUAAAAAGCGUAGUGCGAUGUAUUAUCACACAUCGAAAUUAUACAAGUGUAAUUUCUAUGAGAAAGGGGAAUUUAAAGACUCACUAUGGCAUUUACUUCUAUGCGCUAGUACCUUGUGCACUGAACAUUUUAGAAAACUGUACAUCAAUGUACACUUGGCAGGCUAAUCUUUCACAUAACUCACACAUUUAUUCAAGCGCACAUCAAUCAGAUCGAGGAAAGUUUACACUAACAGCAGCAAUGUUACCUGCAGCCGCAGGUUUCCCUAGAUUCAAAGCCAGCGUGUCGGACGAGAUUACACAAAAAUACAUCGCUCUUCGGUCACUAAGUCCUCUAGCUGGCUCUUAUUGAUCGGCCACUGCUGGAGACCCAGCGGCC
ensembl:lncRNA